UCUAGAGAUUUGGCGGACGGGUGAGUAAUGUCUGGGAAACUGCCUGAUGGAGGGGGAUAACUACUGGAAACGGUAGCUAAUACCGCAUAACGUCGCAAGACCAAAGAGGGGGACCUUCGGGCCUCUUGCCAUCAGAUGUGCCCAGAUGGGAUUAGCUAGUAGGUGAGGUAACGGCUCACCUAGGCGACGAUCCCUAGCUGGUCUGAGAGGAUGACCAGCCACACUGGAACUGAGACACGGUCCAGACUCCUACGGGAGGCAGCAGUGGGGAAUAUUGCACAAUGGGCGCAAGCCUGAUGCAGCCAUGCCGCGUGUAUGAAGAAGGCCUUCGGGUUGUAAAGUACUUUCAGCGGGGAGGAAGGUGUUGUGGUUAAUAACCGCAGCAAUUGACGUUACCCGCAGAAGAAGCACCGGCUAACUCCGUGCCAGCAGCCGCGGUAAUAAUCGUCGAC
rnacentral:rRNA from 1 species